rnacentral:rRNA from 1 species
AUUGAACGCUGACGGCAGGCUUAACACAUGCAAGUCGAGCGGAGAUGAGGUGCUUGCACCUUAUCUUAGCGGCGGACGGGUGAGUAAUGCUUAGGAAUCUGCCUAUUAGUGGGGGACAACAUUCGGAAAGGAAUGCUAAUACCGCAUACGCCCUACGGGGGAAAGCAGGGGAUCUUCGGACCUUGCGCUAACAGAUGAGCUUAAGACGGAUUAGCUAGUUGGUGGGGUAAAGGCCUACCAAGGCGACGAUCUGUAGCGGGUCUGAGAGGAUGAUCCGCCACACUGGGACUGAGACACGGCCCAGACUCCUACGGGAGGCAGCAGUGGGGAAUAUUGGACAAUGGGCGGAAGCCUGAUCCAGCCAUGCCGCGUGUGUGAAGAAGGCCUUUUGGUUGUAAAGCACUUUAAGCGAGGAGGAGGCUACCUGGAUUAAUACUCUAGGAUAGUGGACGUUACUCGCAGAAUAAGCACCGGCUAACUCUGUGCCAGCCGCCGCGGUAAUAC